GAUGAAGAACGUAGCGAAAUGCGAUAAGUAAUGUGAAUUGCAGAAUUCAGUGAAUCAUCGAAUCUUUGAACGCACAUUGCGCCCGCUAGUAUUCUGGCGGGCAUGCCUGUCCGAGCGUCAUUUCAACCCUCAAGCCCCCGGGCUUGGUGUUGGGGAUCGGCGAGCCUCCGCGCCCGCCGUCCCCUAAAUCUAGUGGCGGUCUCGCUGUAGCUUCCUCUGCGUAGUAGCACACCUCGCACUGGGAAACAGCGCGGCCACGCCGUUAACCCCCCAACUUCUGAACGUUUGACCUCGGAUCAGGUAGGAAUACCCGCUGUACUUAAGCAUAUCAAUAAGCGGAGGA
rnacentral:misc_RNA from 1 species